GAUGAACGCUGGCGGCGUACCUAAUACAUGCAAGUCGAGCGAACAGAUAAGGAGCUUGCUCCUUUGACGUUAGCGGCGGACGGGUGAGUAACACGUGGGUAACCUACCUAUAAGACUGGAAUAACUCCGGGAAACCGGGGCUAAUGCCGGAUAACAUUUAGAACCGCAUGGUUCUAAAGUGAAAGAUGGUUUUGCUAUCACUUAUAGAUGGACCCGCGCCGUAUUAGCUAGUUGGUAAGGUAACGGCUUACCAAGGCAACGAUACGUAGCCGACCUGAGAGGGUGAUCGGCCACACUGGAACUGAGACACGGUCCAGACUCCUACGGGAGGCAGCAGUAGGGAAUCUUCCGCAAUGGGCGAAAGCCUGACGGAGCAACGCCGCGUGAGUGAUGAAGGUCUUCGGAUCGUAAAACUCUGUUAUUAGGGAAGAACAAAUGUGUAAGUAACUGUGCACGUCUUGACGGUACCUAAUCAGAAAGCCACGGCUAACUACGUG
rnacentral:rRNA from 1 species